rnacentral:hammerhead_ribozyme from 1 species
GCACCACUGAAGAGUCCCACAAUAGGACGAAACGGCUGUCCUGUGC